AGUUUAUUGGAAAUAACUAAAAUAUUCUAAAAUCAUAAUAGAACUAGGCUAAAAUAUUAUUAAUUGCACCAAGUCAUUGGUGCUGUUAGGUUUUCUGCCCUUGGAUAAAGGAGUGUGCAGUUAGGAUGAUAGUGGUCCCCUAGGAUUUAGGGGGUGGUUGGUGGCAUAAUAUAAUCUAAAGGAUGAAAAUGAUCAGAGGGGUAGAUCUAAUGGCGGAAACUUGGUAGCACCAAGUGAUUGCUAUUAUUAAUAGCAUUGUAGCCGGACUCAUAAUAAUAUAUCUUUCCAUAAUUAGAAAAUU
rnacentral:lncRNA from 1 species